CGGAGCUUGCGCCUCUCGCGUCCAGUUGUGGGUGGCGCUAGGUCCGUUCAGCUGACCGAGUCGGGGUCGUAGCUUGGUGGCUAGCUGUUUCUCGGAGAAGACCCCCGAGUGUCCAGUCUAGAGGCCAUGGGGAGGCAGUGGGAGUCUGCCAUGAGGGCAGCAGAACAGGCUGGCUGCGUGGUGAGCGCCUCCCGGGCCGGACAACCCGAGGCGGGCCCGUGGAGCUGCAGCGGGGUGAUCCUGAGCCGUAGCCCGGGCCUGGUGCUGUGCCACGGGGGCAUCUUCGCCCCCUUCCUGCGAGCUGGCAGGGAGGUCCUGACCGCGGCCGGCGCCGUCUUCCUGCCUGGCGACAGUUGCAGCGAUGAUCUGCGCCUGCACGUGCAGUGGGCCCCAACGGCCGCGGGUCCCGUGGGCGGCGUAGAGCGGGGUAGCCCCUCGCUGUGCACGCCCCAGUGCGCGGGCCUCGAGCCCGGCCCACCUGCCUCGUACCGCAGGCGGCUCCAGCAGCCCCCGCUUCCCGCCGAGCUGCUGCUGCUGCUGAGCUGCCCGGCCUUCUGGGCCCACUUCGCGCGCCUCUUCGGGGACGAGACAGCGGAACAGUGGCGCUUCGCGAGCGUGGCGCCGGAUGAUGAAGUGUCGGAGGACGAGGAGGAAGAUCAACUGAGAGCGCUGGGCUGGUUCGCGCUGCUGGGCGUGCGGCUAAGCCAGGAGGAGGCGGAGGAGGAGCGCGGGCCGGCAGUGGCGGUGGCGCCUCUCGGGGCGGUCCCCAAGGGCGCGCCAUUGCUGGUCUGCGGCUCCCCGUUCGGGGCCUUCUGCCCCGACAUCUUUCUCAACACGCUGAGCCGCGGGGUGCUCAGCAACGUGGCCGGCCCGCUGCUGCUCACCGACGCGCGCUGCCUGCCCGGCACAGAGGGCGGCGGCGUGUUCACUGCGCGGCCCGCGGGGACGCUGGUGGCUCUGGUGGCGGCACCGCUCUGCUGGAAGUCCCGCGAAUGGGUGGGCCUCACGCUGCUCUGCGCUGCCGCCCCGCUCCUCCGCGCUGUCCGCGCCGCGCUCGGCCGCCUGUUCCCCAGUACUGCUGCCCUGGCCGCCCUCCUGCCGCCAGAGGUGGGCGUCCCGUGGGGCCUGCCCCUCCGAGACCCCGGGCCCCCGUGGGCAGCCGCGGCUGUGUUGGUGGAGUGCGGCACCGUAUGGGGCUCUGGAGUGGCUGUGGCUCCCCGCCUUGUAGUGACCUGCCGGCACGUGUCCCCUCGGGAGGCAGCCAGGGUCCUGGUGCGCUCCACGCCCCCCAAGAGUGUGGCCAUCUGGGGCCGGGUGGUAUUUGCCACUCAGGAGACAUGUCCUUAUGAUAUAGCAGUUGUGAGCCUGGAGGAAGACCUGGAGGAUGUUCCCAUCCCUGUGCCUGCUGAGCACUUCCAUGAAGGCGAAGCUGUGAGUGUGGUGGGCUUCGGCGUCUUUGGCCAGGCUUGUGGGCCCUCAGUGACAUCAGGCAUCCUGUCGGCUGUGGUGCAGGUGGAUGGCACGCCCGUGAUGCUGCAGACCACAUGCGCUGUGCAUGGUGGCUCCAGCGGGGGACCCCUCUUCUCCAACCACUCAGGGAACCUCCUUGGCAUAAUCGCCAGCAACACCCGGGACAAUAGCACAGGGGCCACCUACCCCCACCUGAACUUCAGCAUUCCCAUCACGGUGCUCCAGCCCGCACUGCAGCACUACAGCCAGACCCACGACCUGGGUGGCCUCCGUGAGCUGGACCGCGCCGCUGAGCCAGUCAGGGUGGUAUGGCGGCUGCAGCGGCCCCUGGCAGAGGCCCCGCGGAGCAAGCUCUGAGGCUCUGUCGCCUCCUCUGGAAAGAAGAGUGACUUUUUUCUGCUGUAGGAAGUGAUACUAAGGGCUGUGGUCUUGCUCUCUCUCUUCCACUGGCCUGGAACUGAUGCCCUAGCGAGAAACACACUUCUGUUGUAUUUGAGCCAUUACAUUUGGAGUCUAUUGGUCAUAGCAGCAGAACUUACCUUCACUGAUAUCUGGGAGCACCAUACCAAACCAUGUGUUGGGGGAGAGAAGAAGAAACGAGGAUAUUCCUCUCUUCUUUGAAGCUUACAAAUUUAGCUGGAACUACGUAUGGAAAAGGAGAACAUUUACUGGGCUCUUCAGAUCUAAGAGUUACCUGUUCUUUAAGUGGAGAUACUGCCUCUGUUUCUCUGGGCUCCUGAGGUGACCCCAGUACCUUGGAGCUCCUCUAGCCCUGGGAGCCAGCAGAAAAGCCACCUGUUUUCUGGAAGCAAGUGCCCUCAGGCCUGGCUGAGCUCAUUACAGCAGCCAGCCAGCAACUCUUCCUCCUCUUAGAUUCUGUCAUGUUCGACAGUCUGCCUGCUGUCCCCACUAACCAUCAAAGUCAUGGAAUGGACUUGCCACUGUUUCAGCAUCCUAACCACCACACUUUCCUGCUACCUCUGGCACUUGGAAAUUGAGAGACAAAAGCCCUUUGUUAGGCAGCAAGCUUUGAUUAUCAGUUCCAAAGCUAAGGGCACUGUUGGUGGGACCAGAGGAGUGGUGUCUGGUGAGCUCCCUGUAUGGAGGUGUCUUCUGGUUACCAAGAAAGUACUGAGUGAUAAUCAGAAAAACUCCUUGGUUUUCAUGGUUUGUUACUUUGUAGCAGGUCUUGAGGGUGGAGGGCGGCGGCGGAGGGAGGUGGAAAAGAAAGAUUUUCAUGGUUUGGGACAGGUCCUUAGAGAUGGGCCACAGUAGCCCUGACAUGCCCCAGCCCAGUGUUGGACCACCUUGCAUCUCCCUUCUCCCUUCCAGCUUUACCUUUGUCCUGCUCUUUCUGGAGUCCUCUCCUUGCAUCCUGCCAGCUGGAAUCCCCUUCAUCCUUGCACACCUAGCUCCUACACAAAGCCUUCCAUGAUCUCCCCAAGCCGCAGGGCCAAUUCCCUGCACUGGGCAGGCUGUAGCCUCUCUGUGUCACACGUUACUGGGUACAUGCCCAGUAAAUUUCCCACAACUGAGAUUCUGCUUUUCCUGAGCAGUAUCCUCUGGCUCCUUAGGGAUGAUGCCUGCUGAGGGGUUUCCUGGCUUGAAGGUCAUGGUUCAGGCCAGGCGUAGUGGCUCACACAUGUAAUCCCA